AACGAACGCUGGCGGCAUGCCUAACACAUGCAAGUCGAACGAGACCUUCGGGUCUAGUGGCGCACGGGUGCGUAACGCGUGGGAACCUGCCUUUAGGUUCGGAAUAACUCAGAGAAAUUUGAGCUAAUACCGGAUGAUGUCUUCGGACCAAAGAUUUAUCGCCUUUAGAUGGGCCCGCGUUGGAUUAGCUAGUUGGUGGGGUAAAGGCCUACCAAGGCGACGAUCCAUAGCUGGUCUGAGAGGAUGAUCAGCCACACUGGGACUGAGACACGGCCCAGACUCCGACGGGAAGCAGCAGUGGGGAAUAUUGGACAAGGGGCGAAAGCCUGAUCCAGCAAUGCCGCGUGAGUGAUGAAGGCCUUAGGGUUGUAAAGCUCUUUUAACCGAGAUGAUAAUGACAGUAUCGGGAGAAUAAGCACCGGCUAACUCCGUG
rnacentral:rRNA from 1 species